AUUGGCCUACGGGGGGCAGCAGUGGGGAAUAUUGCACAAUGGGCGAAAGCCUGAUGCAGCAACGCCGCGUGAGCGAUGAAGGCAUUCGGGUCGUAAAGCUCUGUCCUCAAGGAAGAUAAUGACGGUACUUGAGGAGGAAGCCCCGGCUAACUACGUGCCAGCAGCCGCGGUAAUACGUAGGGGGCUAGCGUUAUCCGGAUUUAUUGGGUUUAAAGGGUGCGUAGGCGGUCUGUUAAGUCAGCGGUAAAAUUGCGGGGCUCAACCCCGUCGAGCCGUUGAAACUGGCAGACUUGAGUUGGCGAGAA
rnacentral:rRNA from 1 species